UACGAAGGGGGCUAGCGUUGCUCGGAAUCACUGGGCGUAAAGCGCACGUAGGCGGCUCUUUAAGUCAGGGGUGAAAUCCCAAGGCUCAACCUUGGAACUGCCUUUGAUACUGGGGAUCUCGAGUCCGAAAGAGGUGAGUGGAACUGCGAGUGUAGAGGUGAAAUUCGUAGAUAUUCGCAAGAACACCAGUGGCGAAGGCGGCUCACUGGUCCGGUACUGACGCUGAGGUGCGAAAGCGUGGGGAGCAAACAGG
rnacentral:rRNA from 1 species